rnacentral:rRNA from 1 species
UACACGACCGUACCGCAAACCGACACUGGUGCGCGAGAUGAGUAUUCUAAGGCGCUUGAGAGAACUCAGGAGAAGGAGCUCGGCAAAUUGACACCGUAACUUCGGAAGAAGGUGUGCCUUUAGUAGGUGAAGGGAUUUACUCCUAGAGCCCAAUGAGGUUGCAAAAAAUCGGUGGCUGCGACUGUUUAUUAAAAACACAGCACUCUGCAAACACGAAAGUGGACGUAUAGGGUGUGACGCCUGCCCGGUGCUGGAAGAUUAAAUGAUGGGGUGCAAGCUCUUGAUUGAAGUCCCAGUAAACGGCGGCCGUAACAAUAACGGUCCUAAGGUAGCGAAAUUCCUUGUCGGGUAAGUUCCGACCUGCACGAAUGGCGUAACGAUGGCCACACUGUCUCCUCCUGAGACUCAGCGAAGUUGAAAUGUUUGUGAUGAUGCAAUCUCCCCGCGGAAAGACGGAAAGACCCCAUGAACCUUUACUGUAGCUUUGUAUUGGACUUUGAACAGAUCUGUGUAGGAUAGGUGGGAGGCUUUGAAGUAGGGUCGCUAGAUCUUAUGGAGCCAACGUUGAAAUACCACCCUGGUGUGUUUGAGGUUCUAACCUAGGUCCAUUAUCUGGAUCGGGGACAGUGCAUGGUAGGCAGUUUGACUGGGGCGGUCUCCUCCCAAAGCGUAACGGAGGAGUUCGAAGGUACGCUAGUUACGGUCGGACAUCGUGACGAUAGUGCAAUGGCAUAAGCGUGCUUAACUGCGAGACUGACAAGUCGAGCAGAUGCGAAAGCAGGACAUAGUGAUCCGGUGGUUCUGUAUGGAAGGGCCAUCGCUCAACGGAUAAAAGGUACUCUGGGGAUAACAGGCUGAUACCGCCCAAGAGUUCAUAUCGACGGCGGUGUUUGGCACCUCGAUGUCGGCUCAUCUCAUCCUGGGGCUGUAGCCGGUCCCAAGGGUAUGGCUGUUCGCCAUUUAAAGAGGUACGUGAGCUGGGUUUAAAACGUCGUGAGACAGUUUGGUCCCUAUCUUCCGUGGGCGCUGCAGAUUUGAGGAAGCCUGCUCCUAGUACGAGAGGACCGGAGUGGACACACCUCUGGUGUAUCGGUUGUCACGCCAGUGGCAUUGCCGAGUAGCUAAGUGUGGAAGAGAUAACCGCUGAAAGCAUCUAAGCGGGAAACUCGUUUCAAGAUGAGAUCUGCCGGGGCCUUGAGCCCCCUAAAGAGUCGUUCAAGACCAGGACGUUGAUAGGUCGGGUGUGGAAGCGCAGUAAUGCGUUAAGCUAACCGAUACUAAUUG